rnacentral:tRNA from 1 species
GGCGCCGUGGCUUAGUUGGUUAAAGCGCCUGUCUAGCAAACAGGAGAUCAGUGAGUUCGAAUCUCACGGUGCCU